ensembl:lncRNA
GUGUCACUGUGGUGUUGGCAUUUUUCUGUUGGUUCAGGCUGGGGACACACUGUCCAACGUAGGUGACAGAUAUUGGCACGUUAUUGUAAAUCCAGCACAGGUAGUUUGUGGUAUUUAAUGUUUGUACCAUCCCCCUGAGGGCAGAGCCCCACACGCUGCCCUGCAGGACAGAGCUGCGGCAGGGCAGCAGAACAUGGUAGAGAUAAACAGAAUAAACAACCUUGAAACAGCACAGACCAAUUAUGGCUUCUGCUUUGGCAACGGGGCAGAAAGACAGAGACUUUCUACAACCUCAGAAUCACCAAUACCCUCAGAUUCCGACAUGUGUCCACCUGCACAAGGCUCUGAGACACUGCUCCCAUCACCAAUAUCCAACUGGAACCUCUCUCUCUGCAGCUCUGUGGUGUCAGUGCUGCAGGACAGCACACAGAUGAUAAGCUCCUGCUUUCUGAGUGUCUUUUGUCUUCCUCCAGAAGAGGAAAUGAUGAGCCUGGAGGCUUGCAUCUAUACUCAGACCCUGGAUGCCACAGACAUCAUGCUGAAGGCUGUGGUGCUCUACUCUUCUGGCGAGGUGCUGCAGGACAUCUUGGAGGUGCUGCUCACCUUCACCAACUCUGAGAGAGUUGUUGUGCAGGAGAGAGCCUUGGAGAGGAUUUGCAUCCUGAGCCAUUGGCUGGCUGGCUGUUCUGCUCCUGAGGUGAGGACCAGGCACCCUCCAGCCAUCUCCCUGUGCCCGUGGCCAGUACAGUUGCAGCUCCAAGGUGCCUUCAAUGCCAGCUGAAAGGUCUUGGUCCCUCCAUUCCCCCUGGGCUUCCCAGCCAGGAGCCAGCUUUGCCCCAGCCCUGUGUUGGACAGGGCUGCCCAAGGAGCAUGGAGGGAGCUCUCCCUGCUGGGGCCUCCCUGAGAGAUGGGGCCUGCAGGGCCCUACCAAGCUCUGACCCACCUCUAGCCCUGGAGGCACUGUGUGGGUCAGAGUUUUGGCUUCAGCUGCCACCUUCAGCCAUUCUGCUCUGCCUGCCUCCCUCAGGCUGGUCAAAAUGAGGAAAGAGGUGAUGCCUGUGGACACAUCCAGAUCCCAGUCCUUGGGAAGGUGUUUGGACGUCUCAUCCUCAUGUCAUUUGAGGAAGAAAAGACCAACUGUGUGGCUCUGAGUGCCCUCUAUGCCCUCCUCAAUUUUAUCUGUCAGCAGAAAGAUGGUGGGCUGCAUCCCUCUGAACAGUGACACCCCCUGCUAGAUCUGCUGGCCUUCCCUGGCAUUUUGAUGGACCUUUGUGCCUGGUGCAGAUGCCACCAUGUCCCCAUCACUGUUAUCACCUCUGUUCCUUCCCCACACUCUCUGUCCCAGGUUUUUGAUGGUCCUGUGCAGCUGAGCUGCUCCUCCACACCGGCCUCAGCCCCAUGUCCCCUGGAGAUCUCCUGUCCCUGCUGGUUUUUGUCUAUUUUUUCUUCUGUUGAGAUUGGGAUUGAAGGUACUGGAGACGAUAGUUCAUAUUUAGUCUCAUUUAAGACUCGUGUUCAACUUUCAGUGUUGCAGUCUCACGGGCAGUGAGUUCUGUAAUCUUUCAUUAUUAACAAGGCACAAAAUGGCUCUCUUGUUACAAGGUCUUUUAAGGCUAAACUAUCUAAUUAAGAAAUGACACCUAAAUUAUUGUCACUUUUAACCUAAUAACUAAUCACUUGGAGUCUGCAGUGCAGACUUUUCUGUCUAAUUACAAAAUACUACUCAAACUUAUGAAGAAGAAGGAAGAAGAAGGUAAAGAAGAACAACUAUUCACUGCCCUAAAACUUCUAUCUUGCCCUAUAUAUAUUUCUAUAUUCUAAAACCUUAAACUCUUACGUUUUCUAGCCUGUGAUAUUACACAUUUCUAAUUAACUACACACCUGUAAUCCCAGCGCUAUCAAUAAAUUUUGGAAGUCUUUUUCAUGGCCUCAGGUCAAAUGUAGUGCUCUCCUGGGGAUCAGAGUUUGUCAGCACAGAAAGUCUGAAAUUCUCAGCAUGCAGAGCUCCAGCAAGGAUGUGCUGGCACCACUGCUGCAUCCCACUAACGUGUCCAAGUGUCCCCACUCUGGUGUGACACUGCCAGAGGGUAAUGCACAGCUCUAAGCAUGGUUGGAAGCUGGGAUCACCUCCUCACUUUGUUCUCCCAGUGCCAAGGGCUUCACUGAGGUAUUGAGAGCUCCCCUUGCUGGGACUCUUGUCCACAGCAUUCAUGUGAGCAAAAAGGCCCAGAAUCAGCAGGGCUCCUGUCCUUUCUGCCACAGGCCACUGGAAAAUACCUCAGACCUUCUGAGAGGACACGCAUCAUCCUCUCAACCAUUACGAUGUCCCACUACUCAUCUACCUACAAUCAGCAGGUGGCUCUCAGCAUGCUGGAGGUGACUGGGAGAGACCCUGAUGGAUGUAAGUGGCCUGUGUCUGGGUUGCCCUGCCGUGUUGGCUUCCUGCCUCCCUCCAUCCCUCCCAAAUCCAGAUGUCUCAGGCACCAGAAGCCAUCCUGAAGCAGCAGAGAGGGAUGGGAAGGGCAGCACCACCCUCACCUGUGUCCCUCCAGGUGCCAAACGUUGUGAGCCACAUCUGCCACACUGGGCUGGUUGUGGACACCCAAGUCCAGCACAGCCUCCACUCCCUGCUCCUCUUGAUGGCUGACAAGAGUCCUGGGCAGGUGGCCACAACCUGCUGCAGAUUGCUCCACGAGGAGACAGGUACUGGCUCCAACAGCCCCUGAGAUCCUGAAACCCAGGGAACGCUGCAGAACCCCACUGAGGAGCAAGGUCCUCCAUCCCACCACGCUUUCCAGCCCUGGUGGGGGUCAUCCAGACCUGCAACAGCCCAGCCACGCUGCUCCUGGACCAUCUCCUGCCUGCCUGGGCAAGAACUCCCAGGGGGAAUUUUCUCUUUAGUUCCAGUCAGUGUGGAGUGCAGACUCUCCCCUGCCAGCCACAAGGGUUGGGGAGAGCAAACCCUGCAGCUCGAGAGAAGCAGGAAAAGACCAGAACUGAGUCAGCCCCCACAGAACAGAAGGGUGGAGAAAAUCUAAGAUGUCUGUAUUCCCCCUCCAGAGAGAGAGAGAGAAAAAAAACCCAAAAAAACAGAGACUGUGCUGCACUACGCCAGCAGAAGGAAAACAGAAGGUGGGGGAAGGUGCCCAGCUGUGGGAGUUAGAGUUCUGGCUAGAAAUUUCAGCUGUCCUUGGGAGUCUGAGACUUUUAACCCCUUCUUAAAUAAUAAAAGCUUUGUAAAAUACUACUCCUCCUUAAUCAGAGAGAGAAGAGAGAUGGCCUGAGACUAAGAAGAAGAUGGGGAAAAGGAUCCUAGGUGAGAGGAGGUGAUAGAAUAGCUUUUAGCUGAACUUUUCUUAUAUAGCCAUAGACUAAACCAAUUUCUCCUGCAACAGAGACUGCAUUUUUAGGAAGAUGCAAUAGUUAGAGCCAAGAAAGUGACCUACUGCAGUGAUGAGGAGGAUGUAGUAGUGCCCUGUCUUCAAGAAAAAGAAUAUUUGUUCUUGAGACCCUCAGCCCCAGUGGAGGAGAAAAUGGAGAGAAAUGUUCUCCUAAAAAUGAGAAACUAAACUGUUGUUCUUUUAAUCCUUAACAAGCAUCCUUAAAAGAACCCUUUGAGCAGUUUUGGUGCAUGCAGGGUGGUGAGAGCACUGUGACAUAGAAAAGAAGGUGUCACGCUAACAAAUUUUCUCUGGGCAGUGCCAGGUGUGACAUGGGAAUCCAAGAAGUAGCAAUUGUGUUUCCUGGGAGUCUAUAGUGCAAGAGAAACUCCUCUCUCCCUUGAUAAACUAAGUAUUGAUUAUCUGAAGAGUAGUAACUUGAUUGAAGAUCCAAGUUGUGUCUCACUGUAGUUUGUUAGAGUUUAAGUGGGGGAGGAGGAUUGUUUUAGAAAGUUUUCAUCCUAAAUUCUGUGUGUCUUUUAUUAUAGUAGUUAUAACUUAAUAAGUAGUUAUAAUAAGUUAAUAAGUAGUUAUAGUUAUAAGUUAACCAAGUUUUUCCUUUGUUUUUAAACUCGAACCUACUCUACUCUGUUCCUAAUCACAUCUCACAGCAUUUAUUUAAAAAGAAGUACAUUUUCCUGCAGUGCCAGCGUCAAACCGUAACACUCUGCCAGGGGCAAAGGCUGGGAAAUAACAGUUCUUUACUAGGAGAAAAACGAAAUAAUAAUAAUAAUAGUAAUAAUAAUAAUAAUAAACUGUAAGUAGUACAAACAAAACUAGUGAUGGAGUCAGAAACCUGACACCCUGAGGAGUCAGGGUGUUGGUAGUAGUCCAGUUAAAUGGUGGCUGCUCCUCCUGGAGUGGCAGAUGAAAUGCUGCUGAAGUGGUGAUCUCUAGAAGGGCGGAGUUUUCUCUGAAGGUCUGGUGAUGGAGUAGUUGGGCCUGGUCUUCCUCUGGGAAUUCAGCAGAGAAGAAGCUGCUCCUCUGGGAAUCCAGCGAAGUGGCUGCCAGUGUCCCAAAAAAUGCUGAUUUUAUGCAGGUAGGAAUGCUUGGCUCCUCCCUCUGGGUGGAGCAUCUCACAAUGGGACGAUGUAACUUUAGUGGUCAUGUAGUGAAUUAUUUAAUAAUUUAUUAACAGAAGAUAUCUCCCUGGAGGGAGACAUUGUUCUUGGAGGAGAUAAGAGAACUGCCCAACCUCCAACAGAUGGCAAUAGAAUCCAUGCUUAUCUUACAAGCCAGGACAGCGGGAGUCAGGACAUGGGGUCACUGCUCUGCACACCCUCCCUGGCUGGCAGGACCUUUGCCAGGCACAAAAUGGAAACUGUCUUUCAUGCAGGUGAGAAAAAUGAAGCUCCUCCUGCCAGACCUGGUGAACCUGUUGAGGCACAGCUGCAGGUCCCUGGUGAUGAAGGCCUUGAUGGUCCUCUGGAAUGUGAUGAGGCGCAGGAAGAGGACUGAGGGUAGUUCCAUUGCUGUGGAUGUGGAUAAGGCACUGCAGCCCUACUUCAAUGAAGGGAGGCCAGCGUGGAGCCCGAGCCUUGAGAGGGGCACAGGGCUAUGACAGCAGCACUCGGAGCAGGCUCAGCUCCCUGGGCUCUCCUGGGAUGGAUUCUGCUUCUCCCUGUGAGGAACUGCAUUGACUUGUUUGUUCAUCAAAAGUAUGAAAUUAGGAUAAAAGGGGGGGAAGUCAGGACAUGGAAUUUGCAGGCUUGAGUGGUAACCACAAACAAAGAUUGUGAAAGAUUUUGCAGGACUGGCUGGAACUGAUAACCGCAGUGGAAACCCAUUGUUGCUGAAACUGAUAACCGCAGUGGAAGGAGACUCACCAUCCCCAUUUGUGAAACCCAUUGUUGCUGGAACUGAUAACCACGGUGGAAGGAGACCCAUCACCCCCACUUAUGCAGGAUAAAAAGGGACUGAAGAGAAGGAAAGGUUGUCAGCUUUUGGCGGAACACAGGCUCCGCAGCUGCACCCAGCGCUGUUUGCUUGCUAUCGCUUGCUGUAAUUAAUAAAAUUAUUAAUUGAUCUUAAAAGGCUGAAUCAAAUUAUUCGCCUCAAUUUAUAACAUCCCCACUCUGGAAUCUGGCCGCCGAGCAUCGCCCC